GACGGAAACACACCAUGCUUGGCCAGCGUCAAGUUAGCCAGAAUAAAAAACACGAUUUCCGGUCUUGGUUUUCAAAAUAACAUUUUGCAGCGUUUGAAAUCUAACAUUUCAUGUACAAAGGACAUCAAGCACCACUUAAAACAAGAAACCUCAGGGACAGAUUACAGUAUAUUUAAACCUGAGAAAUACACCCAAAACUGUCUACAUGGUGGGAUAUCAGCAGAAGCAGGCAACCCCUCUCAGUGACGUCACAGCACGCCCCUCAGACGGAGUUUUGGAGGAGGAGCGGCGACGAUCACCUUUCACCUAUUAAACCAAAUGCGCAGAUAGAUAAAUGUGUUUACAGUAAUGAAGAAAUUUGAGAUAAAAUUGAUCUUUUUCCGCAGGCGUUGUAGAUUUCCCUACGACUCCACUGUUAUUAAGUAAUAACUACGAAAGCCUGACAAUUUCCCAGUUAACUCACAUUUUUGACUUAUGAUAAACUUACAAUUAGGUAUUAUCUCUAAGUCAUCUUGCUAAUGCUGUGUGAGGGCUAUUUUGUUAGAUACCUUUAACACCCCUUUAAGAUCCAGGAUAUAAGACGCAGGUACAGGUAACAGUCAGGUGAAAAUCACCAGGGUGGCUCCUCACACAGUAUGAGCAGACAGGCUGCCUUUAGCAACUGAAGAUCAACCAGGACAAGAAGUGGCUCAGACAGGCUUAUCCAGGGUGAUAUCCAACACUACACCCCCCCCAUUCAUCUGUACUAUCUGGGUCAGUCACCUGAGUCUCCACACCAAGAAGCUAAUCAUCAACAGUCCACACCAGACAGCAUUAACAGCAGAUAGGGCAAACUACAGUAGAAUGACAGUCAGUGUUCACUGAAGAAAAUACAUUUAUCAGCUUUUGCAUUCCCCCAUGUAUUAAACUUUUAAGAGAAAGCAUCUGUUUAUAACAGUGCAGACCAAUGUUCAGAAUUAAUCAAGGAAGUUAAUGGUAUAUUUUUUUCCUUUCUUAGACUAUAACUGGUUGUGUGAUCAGGUAAAAAGCAUCUGUGGGAGUUUUGCACAGCACCUGGCUGCAUGAUGUCAGCUGAAGCAGAAUCCAUUUGGUGUCCCCAAGUCUCAGCUGUUCCAAGGUGCAAAAAGACAUCAAAUAACAAUUUUAUUAAAUUCAAUCAUUCAUCACAAUAUUAAGUCAUAUGAAAUCAAAUCUUCACAAUUUCUUUUCAUUUUAAAACUAAUUAUGGCUAACAAUGAUAUAAGUCUAACAUUUUAUUAUCCUUGAAAAUUACAAGACUAAUUUUUAAUGAUUUUAAAAUAGAGCUGCUUAGAUUCAUUUCAGCAUAGAUAUGAUGCAGCUGAUUUUGAUAGUUUGGUUAAAGAGCAUCAAAUGGUAGUAGUCUAGCUUUCAUGCUGACUUAUUUCAGAGCACUGUUGAGUCUGAGAAACCUAUCCAACAGAGAAGUCAACUUGUCAAAUGCUUGUGUAAUUAAUAACAUUAAUUAGAGCUGUGUUCCAUUUAGGCCCUGAUAUUGCAAAUCUGGAUCAUUGGCACAGCUCAGGUCUACUGCACUUUUAAAGCCUCAUAAAAUCUCUGUACAUUUACCCUAUAAAUCCUUAUUGCUGCCUAUUUCAUUUCAGGUCCCUCACUGCCCCUCUACACUGCCUUAUUGUGUUUCCACAUACAGUACUGUGUUACUAAAUUGUACUCAAGUGUAAUUCUAAUUACUUUUCUUGGGACUUAAGAGGAGGAUUUGAGAAUAGCUGCAGAAAGAUCAUUUAUUGUUUCUAGAGAAGCACUGACAGAGGCAAAGCUAAAAUGUUACUGGAGCCACUGGUAUCUGCACUACAGACACAAUGGGCUCCACUACCAAGAAGCAAAUUUUGUUUCUCAAAUAAUAUUGCAUUAUUAUCUAGAAAUAAUGUCAAUACUGAAUUGUAUUGUGUCUGUAUGCACUGCACUAGACACAAGAUCAAAAACCUAAUAUAUGUGCACCAAUAUUACUCUAUUCUACAUCUCAGUAUAUUAAAUGAAUAUUUGUAUUAGUUCUAAACUGGUGUUCAUUUUUCAUGAAUGAGAGAACUCAUCUCUAGGUAGUUUAAUUCAGACUAAUAGCCUUUACUGAGUAAAAAGCACAGACAGUGCAUGACCUUACAGUAUGUAUAUAUGUAGAGAGAGAGACAGUAAAAUAGACACAAUUACCAAGACCAAAAAA